UUUACAGUAAGAACUUGCUGCACGAAUACAUAACUGCUUGGUUAUAUUAUGCAUCCUUCUUCCCCAGUAGAGCCACGUGGGAGUCCUUAGCCAGUUGGAAUUUCUCAGUAGAAGUAGUAAUUAGAAGCUCUUUAUUGCAGGUUCUCUAGUGUGGAUACUGAUGAGUUAAAGUUUACCUUUCACUAGAAAAGCUUCACUUUGCUACCAAAUAAUUUUCAUUACAUAUGCAUCAUGAACAAACAGUCAUACAUUGCAUACAUCAUCCAUAUCAAGC
rnacentral:lncRNA from 1 species